UUGCUACCGGACCUAGCGGCGGACGGGUGAGUAAUGCUUAGGAAUCUGCCUAUUAGUGGGGGACAACAUCUCGAAAGGGAUGCUAAUACCGCAUACGUCCUACGGGAGAAAGCAGGGGAUCUUCGGACCUUGCGCUAAUAGAUGAGCCUAAGUCGGAUUAGCUAGUUGGUGGGGUAAAGGCCUACCAAGGCGACGAUCUGUAGCGGGUCUGAG
rnacentral:rRNA from 1 species